rnacentral:rRNA from 1 species
GACGAACGCUGGCGGCGCGCUUAACACAUGCAAGUCGAGCGAGAACCUAGGCUUCGGCCUAGGGGACAGCGGCGAACGGGUGAGUAACACGUGGGUAAUCUGCCCUCGACAUCGGGAUAGCCCGGGGAAACCCGGAUUAAUACCGAAUGGCCCAUCCGCUUUUCGGAGCGGCUGGAAAAGGUAGCUUCGGCCUCCGGUCGAGGAGGAGCCCGCGGCGGAUUAGCUUGUUGGUGAGGUAAUGGCNCACCAAGGCGACGAUCCGUAGCUGGUCUGAGAGGACGAUCAGCCACACUGGGACUGAGACACGGCCCAGACUCCUACGGGAGGCAGCAGUGGGGAAUCUUGCGCAAUGGGCGAAAGCCUGACGCAGCGACGCCGCGUGAGGGAUGACGG